ACAAUGGAGAGUUUGAUCCUGGCUCAGGAUGAACGCUAGCGGCAGGCUUAAUACAUGCAAGUCGAGGGGCAGCACGGGUAGCAAUACCUGGUGGCGACCGGCAAACGGGUGCGGAACACGUACGCAA
rnacentral:rRNA from 1 species